UUUUUAUAAAGCAUUUUCUUUCAUAAAACAGGUCUUUUCAUCAUAAGGACACAGAACCUUUAAAGUUGGUCAUAAUACUUCAAUACAGUAGAUGACUGUGGCUUAAAAUCUUGUUCAGAACCUGCUCCAGAAAGAAAACAAACUCACUCAUUUGAUACACAAAUUGUUUUCAAUUCAUUAAAAAGCAAAAUUGCAUAUCCCAGUGCUGGCAGCUGAGUCCGUAUGGAUGGAAGGGGUAUUCACUCAUCUCUUUGUAUGCUGGCAGUACCCAAACCGAAGUUUAGCACUAUGCAGCAGAGAUUGUUGUGCAGCCAGAAGAUGCAUGAGCUUUAGGCCUCAAGCAAUGGAUUGAGGUACUUGCCAACCACUUUCUGGCUUCCUACUGGAGAUGUAGCCAACUAUCCAAAGAUAAUUUGCUUAAUUGUUGAGCAGAGGUACAGCAAAAACAGCAUGAGUAUUUCCUGUGUAUCUACCCUCUCCAGUGCAUUCUGAUGAGGUCCUUGCUACUAUCAAGAGCACAACACCAGGAAAGAAUGCUAAAACAGGCUAACAAAGUACAUUGAUUCAGAUGAAUAUCUCAAGCUGGUAUAUAUCCUAUUGGAAAUUGACUGCAUGAGAACAUUAUACAUUUUGCUUCAUUGGGCAGUUUCUCCCAGCAUUGGUUUCUAAUAUCCACACUGGUAAAAGCAGCUAGGUAGUAUCAUUCCAGAUGCAUGCAGCUCCCAGUAAUAGAUACUUACUUCAAUGUAUAUACUAGAUUAUCUACUUAUUUUAUAUGGUCUCUAUUGCCCAUUAACCCUUUAUCUAUUUUCUCAUACCCCUUUAGCUGCAAUUAGUUGGAAGCUUUAAUUCUAAACAGAGUGCAACAGCAUAAUUUUACAAUUAGUUGAUUUUUGGACAAGCCCUGAACUCAUGCAAAGUCGCUGACAUCAAGUGUAUGUUCUAGCUUUUGGAAAUCCUACGAUCCUGGCUUCAGUCAACAGGCUCUGCUGUAGCUAAAGGCAUAAACAUGGAGUGAUGCAGCAUGGGGCCAGUGUUUCUGCAACUAAAUGGAUCCACUGGCCAAAAUGAGUGCAACAGUUGAAGAUCUUGCCGGAGACUUCGGGAUGCUGUAAAGCUGCCUAGGGGCAGCUCAUUUGUACCCUCCCGCAGGGAUGAGGGAGAGGAUUCUUCCCCAGCUACUGACGGGUCUUUUUUUACUCUGUGUGUACAGUACUUGUAAUUUUACUCAGUGCAUACAACCCGUUAGCUGUAAUUCUUCCUCUCCACCAUCACUCAUUUUCCUGUCACCCAGAUUUUCCUCCUGCCAAAUCCUCAAGUGGAGUCAUAAUCCUCUGUUUCUGACACAAUCUGUUACUAUGGAGACUAGAUUGAAGUCAGAGAUGCAGCAUUAUGACUUAUGACAUCAGUAUCAAGUUAGAGGAGAGAGAGAAGAGAGGGAAAAUCUUGUUUCAACAUUUUAAAACAUUAAAAAAAAAUAUCCCCCCAAUGCGUUAAGAAGUGUAAGCAGAUUUAUUGUUAACGCUGACAUAACUGAACAUCUUCUGUAAUAUACCAGGUCUCAUUCUAAGGCCCCAAUUCAGCAAAGCACUUAAGCACAUACAUGAAAUUAAGAACAUGUUAUAGGUCCCAUUGUAGCACUUGCUUAAGUGCUUUGCUGAAUCAGGGCCCAAAUCACAGCCAAUUAAAUUAUUGGAAAAGUGCUAAUUCCAAUGCCUUAGGAUCCAGUCCUGCAAACAUGUAUUAUCAGGCAUGAUAUUUUCUACUGUGAGUCGCCUCGCUUAGGUCAGUGGGACUACUUGAUGCAGGAGGAAAGACAGAAAAUAUUAAAAAGUGUAAAAAAUUAAGACAUUUUCCCCAACAUGCAAACAAGUUAUAUGAGGCUAAAAAUACAGUAUUUAGGUAAUGAAAAGAGAGAAUAUUCCAAAUACUCACACCAGUUUUACUCUCACCUUGCUAUGGAUUUUUUCCUCCUAACAUGAAAUACCAUUAAAAAAUCUAAAAACCUA